rnacentral:lncRNA from 1 species
ACGUACGUUUGAAAUCACAAUUAUUUCCUCGUAUUUAUUGCUUUAUUGGGAUGCCCUUUAUCAGUUUAACCAAAGAAUAACCUCAUAGUUUUUGAUUUACCACCGAUGCAGAUACUCUGAUGAGAAUGCUGAGAAAAGCUUUGGAGCUGAAGGAGGUCAUGGCUGCAAGUGCGGUGCAAACUGCAAAUGUGACCCUUGUACCUGUUGAAGACAAAGCUAGUACAACUCCCCAAAAGCAGCUUUCUCUUCACUUGUUAUAGAAAAAGUCAUUGGGGGGAAGAAUUAAGAAGUACUUUUGGUGUGGUCUUUGCUUGUAAUAUAUAAUAAGAUGGUCAUGGCUUCUGCAAAUCUAUGUACUGGAUUUGUUAGCUAAUUAUGUCUAUGUUCUCUUGUGUUGUCCUUUGUGAGUUGCAACCAUCCUUGCUUUGUAUCAGUUCACUGAAAUGCAAUGCUUAUUGAAGAAAGAAAUGUAUGUUGUCAUGCAUCUCCAAUUGGUGGUCAAAUCUUCACAACAAUUGUUCCUGCACACCAAAAAUUAACAACUAGUCAACAAAAUAUAAAACCUUACAAAACUUGGCACAUUUAUAUAUAGGUUGUGCAGGUGCUACAACAACGUUAUUUAGAAAAAAAAAAAAAAAGAAAUAAGAUCUUCAAUCCAUCAAAUGAGUCGGAUACACAGCACAUGAUUGAAUUGGAAAAAAAAUCAUAAUUUCAUUAUAUAUAUAUAUAUAUAUGUGUAUGUGCGCUCGCGCGCGCAUGUACAUAUAUAUAAUAUAUAUAUAUAUGUAUGUGUAUGUGCGCUAUAUAUAUAUAUAUAUAUAUAUAUAUAUAUAUAUAUAUAUAUAUAUAUGUAUGUGUGCAGCACAAGUAUAAAUCUCACGAUAGAAGUUCAAUUUGAAUCAUCAUCAAGGUUUUCAAAAUCGAGAUCCUAUCUAGAAUCGUUUUUUGGUUUGCAAGAUCGGAUCGUAGAAUCAGUAGAUCCUACAAAAAAAAUGUAAUAAAUUGUCAUAUUUAUAAUUUUUAAGUUUGCAAUUAUAAUGUAAUAAAUGUAAUAAAUUGUCAUAUUUAUAAAAAAACAAAAAGUCCUUUGUAGUAUACUUAAUUUACAAAAAAAACCUCUAUGAUUUUAAAAUAUACAAAAUAACACCUCAUGUUUUGAAUUAAAUUAUAAAUUAAUAAAAUUCGUUAAAAUUAAUGAAAAUGACGGUCUUGACUAUUAAAUUUACUGGAUUUCGUUAAAUUUAUCGUUAAAAUUACCGGAUUCCGUUAAAUUUUUCAUUAAAUUUAUCAGAUUUUAUUAAGUUUAACGAAUUUUGUUAGUUUACAAUUUAGUUCAAAACAUGAUGUAUCGUUUUGUAUGUUUUGAAAUCACAAGGAGCUUUUCUGUGUAUUAGGUAUACUACAUAGAGCUUUUUUGUUUUUAACCCAAAAAAAAAGGAGAAAUAAGAUCUUCAAUCCAUCAAAUGAGUCGGAUACACAGCACAUGAUUGAAUUGGAAAAAAAAUCAUAAUUUCAUUAUAUAUAUAUAUAUAUAUAUAUAUGUAUGUAUGUAUAUGUGCGCGCGCCAGAGGAGAAGGGUUCAUAAGGGCUAGGAGAAGUUCCAAUGUUGUUGCUAACGAGAAGGGCAACUUUCAUCAGCAAAUGAAUACUUCCCGUGCACAAGUAUAAAUCUCACGAUAGAAGUUCAAUUUGAAUCAUCAGCAAAAUUUUUUACUGUUCCUCAAACAUGCGUUCACGGGAGGAAGCGGGGCCUUGACUGAUGCCAAACACUGUCUAUGAACAAGAGAAUACAAGUAUAUGGUGAUAUUAGCGGUUUGAAUAAAUCAUAUAAAAAAUCAAAUAGAAGAAAAAUAAAUUUAAUUAGAAUUCUUAUUAUCCAUUUAAUACAAUUUUAUUCUAAUUUACAUCUCAUAUCUUCGUACAACUCUUAAUAUUACUAUUUAAAAUUUAGAGAAAUAUAAUUAUUCAAAAUCAAAAUAUUAGGGAUUAAAAGUGCGAAUUCAAGUUUGUUGACUAACGCCAAUUUGAUGUUGACAGUUAGUGUUGAUCAUUAGUCAUCCUUGAAUUUGCAUUAAUUGUCAUGAAUAUGCCUAAAAUCAAAACCUUUAGGAACCAAUUUGCUUUAGACGAAACAUUGGGACCGAAUUAAUAUAUUGGUCAAAUAUUGAACACGAAUUUACCAUACAUUAGAUGCAAGUUAGUGGCCGGUUUUUGGAGGUUAAUCUGGGAUUAGGGUUAAUUGCUUAACAAAAGUCAUUACCGGAGUUGACAAAAAAAAAAAAAGAUGCAAGUUAGCGUCCACGCGGUCUUUCGAUCAACAGAUCAAUAUGCACACCCGUAAUUGCCAUGGAUAUUAUUUAGUAAAUUAGUCCUUUUGUUGGCCAAAAUUGAGGUACGCUUUGAAAAGCGUAAAUUUGUCAUACUGACCAAAAUCUGUUCUACCUUUCGGGUAUCAUAAACCCUCAACUUAAAAUUUACGGUUGGAUGAUAAAAGAGUGUUAACCUUUAAAUUGCAACAAUUUUAAUAAUGUAAAAUGUAAAUUCUACUAUUGUCAAUGAUGUGGCAAUUAGUGAUUGAAUAUAAAAAAGAGAAAAUGAUUUUCUAAAGGGACUAUAUUGGUACUAAAUAAAGAUGAGAGAAUAAAGAUCACCAUAAAAUUUUCUUCUUUUGUCUGCAGCUGCAACCAUCUAACCUAUUUCUACUCUUAUUCUUAGGAAGGGAGAGUCUAGACAGACCUGUAUGGGGGUUGGGAGAUAAACCACUAGACUAAACAAGUGCAUUACUGCACUUUUCUGUAUCCCCCUGCACUGGAGAGUUUUUGAAAGAGCUCUUUUCUGACCAUUGGACUAAGGGCCAACGGUUACUGUAAACUUUUCUUAACAUAAGUGAUGUGCCAUUACCAGUUGCUCGGUAAUUGGUGGAGUCUAUGCGCAAUUCUUGACGUUUGUUGCCAAAAGAACUAUCAAAACAUAUAUCCAAAAUAAUUUAAUUUUAAAAUUUAUUACCUUUAUCAAUUUUUUUUUUGCCACAUAGGUUACACAUGUACUGGGAUAGAGAUAAAAGCGAGCUCCAUUUCUUUUUCUUAUCUAAUAUCUUCCUCGAUUCUCUCUCUGAAUCUUCCCGCAUUUUUUUCCUUUCAUUAUCUUUUUCUUGACAAACAUAAUUUUGAGAAGUCAAUAUUUAUAUUAACAAUAUCUAAAACUUCAUUAUAUUCUUGAUAUUGUUUCGGUGGUUGAAAAUAUUCUUCUCGAAUUGAUAAUCUCAAGAUAAAUCAAUCUGCUUGUGCCUUUAUAAUAAAAAAAAUUAAAAUUUUCAGUUCAUGUUAGAAAUUAUAGACUAGAUUAAAGCUUUCCCUUUUUGUUAUUCUACACAGCAAUUAGGAUAACUAGAUGGCAAUAAUAACAUCAUUAUGGGAAUAAAAUUUGAAAGCUAAUCACAUUGAGAAUAUUUUUUGGAAAGAGUGUUAUUUUGACAAGAAAAACUCGGUUAUCCACAAUGGGGUGCAAUAAAGGGUAUUACACCCAAAAAUUAUAUCCUCUUAUCAUAAUCAUUACACGCAUACUAGACAUGCAAGGCAACAGAAAAUUGGUUGCAUGUCCCAUUUGAUAAUUUUAAAAGCUUUAAAUUUUAUGGGAUAAGUGUUGUAAAUUAUUAAAAUAAAUAUGUGAUUUGAUUGUGAAUUUAUAUUAUUAUAUUAUGUAGAGUAUAAUUUAUAGUGAGAGAUAGUGUAAUGAAAAAGGGGAUAUUAUAGUAAUGAUAUGGUAGAUGAGUGUAAGCCAUGAAUGUAAUCCAUUGUGGAUGCAAACACAAUUUCUUCCCAAUAACCAGAAUCAGCUGCCUUAGAUUUGAUUUAGACAUAAAUGCAAUCUCUUGUCAAUAGUUUUUGUCCAUUUUAGCCGAUGUGUUUGAAUUUUUCUAUCAAUUAAAAUCAAGUUGCUUUGCCCGUUACGGUAAAAAUCUUGGAAGCAACAACUUGAAAGGGAUUCUCGUGUCUUAUUCAUUUUUGUGGAGCAGUAGCCAGCAGGCACUCUUUGACAAUUUCAAAGGGGGUGAUCACGCUAUACGUUUGGUCGGACUUGCAAUCUUUCACACCAUUAAAUAAGUGGUGAUUGGAUGAGAAUUGAGUGAAGCACCCUAAUAAAAGGGGAAAAAAAAAAAACGCUCAUUACGUUUGAUCAUUUUCUAUUUGCUUCAUUUUUUUUACAAUUUUAACUUUUAUUAAAAACAAGAAAAAGCCCUCUCUUCAUUGCUUUUAGGGUAAAUUAACUUUAUCCCCAUGUGGUUUCAUAUUUUACCACAUAACCCCCUUGUGGUUUAAAAAUCUAUGUAUAAAUCCCUCCGGAUUUGGGUUAAUAUGUUACCGUUAGUUUUGGGUUAAAGAAAUGAUUUUGAAAACCUAAUACUUUGUCCUACAAAAUCUUAAUUUUCUCAAAAUACAAAAGAGAUGGAAGGGAAAUAAUAAAUAAAUAAAUCAUGAGGAAUUAUAUAUAAGUUUUUAAACCAUAUAUAUAAACCGUAGAGGAGUUAUGUAGUACAGCAUCAAAUUACAAGGGGUAAAAGGUAAUUUAUCUUUGCUUUUAAUUGUUACAAAUUUAAAUAUGGUAACAGCAAAAUAUAAGUCCUCGUACUCGCCUGCUAAUUCAAUUAUUUACGAAAAAUGUUUCUUCGUCGAUCAAAGGAUUCUUUCAUAAUGAACAAGUACAAUAACCGGAAAAGAAAAUGCAACAAGCUUAACUUUUCGCUUUGGUUGCUUUUUAAUGAUUUAAUAUGUUUUGAAUAUUCUUAAUUGUGUCUGUAUAGCAGCAAGUUUCAUUCACGAUCUUCAAGUUGAUAGUAACAUAAUGCUUGGAAUAUGAGUUCUUGAUUGUGACAUUCUAAAGAUCACAAGUAUUAGAGAGCAGUCAUAAUAAAUUUUUUUUUUCUAGUUAAUAGAAAUAGUCAUUCGCUACACCCGUUUCAUCUUAAUCAAUAAAAAGAAAAGUUCAAAGAAAAAAGUGGUGAUUCCUUUUUUUUUUUUUUUUUUUUUUAUAAAUUGCAAUUGACUAAAUAUCCCUGGUUAUAUAGUAUUAAGGGUUUGAAUAAAAAUGGGUAUGCGUGCAUUCACAUAAUAAGUUAGGUAUAAUUUAGAUAUUUUAACGAGUGUCCUAUUAAUCGAAGAGGUCUUGGUUUAAUAGUUAAGAUUGAAACUUCAAAAUUCAGAAAAUUAGGUCUCAAUCCCUUCUUUUUAACCUUUUACUCCUUUGAUCCCACUCCUUCCUAGUAGGAAAAAAGAAAAAAGAGUAUUAAAAGGGUAGACUACUUUGAGGAACGUUACUUUCAAGAGGAAAAAUAUAUUAAAGUAGACAAGUAACAAGGACAUAAAGGCAAAACUUAAGAAAGCGAAGAUUUGAAGGCAUACGCGUUGCUGACGGCUUUCUAAGCAAGAGAGAAUGCCAAGUCUUCCAGCUCACGACCACUUGACCUCAAGUAUCAAUGGUCUGGCUAAAAAAAAAAAAAAAAAAAAUCAACCGAAAAAAAUGAAAAGUUUGGUCCCUAUGAUUUGAACGUGAUGCAAUUUAGAGUUAACAAGUUAAUUUGCGAAAUCAAUUGCUAUUUAUGUUAGAGUACCCAAAUCAAUUUUACGCCUUCUUCUUGUCAAUUUUGACGUGUAAAACAAUUUUGAAUCUUCCAAAUGUGGUAGAAUAUAAGAUGCCAAAUCUGUCAAAAUUGAUUCAUAAAAGCCAAGACAAUAAACCAAUUGUUAUAGUGCAUGCGUACAAUAAAUCACAAGGAAACCAAUCAAGUUAUCACUUAUCAAUGCCUUACAAGUUUCAAUAACAUACCCCGGUGGAUAGGAUAUUUAUAAAUAGCAAAGCCAAUUCAUAUGGAGUGUUUGCUACGAAAUGUCCAAGUAAUCAAUGAUCAAGUGUAGAAAAGGAUAGGUGUUGACAAAAUGUUGUUUAAUCCAUUUGAUUAGUAUACGUAAAUCACCUCUUAUUGGUACACUUGUUCAUAUCAUUGUCAACAAAUUUCUUUAGCUUUGCACUAUAAAUAAAGCCAACAACUCUGGCAAAGAACUCGUACAAGAGUUGAUUUUACGAGUAGUAUUGUCCAUUAACAUAUUCUUCUGCUCUUCAAACAUCUCUGUGAAGAUGUCUUCCUGUGGAGGAAACUGCGGGUAAAGUUCUUGUAUUUUUUUUUGAGCAUAGAUAUGUAUAGUUAAUCUGGUGUUUUCUCAUAUCCUUUGGCCACUUACAGGGAAAAUAGUAUUGAGGAGUAUGCAAAUGAUAAAAAUUCAAAAUUUCAUGUGAUUUUUCUGAUUGUUUAGAUUUCGAAAAUCCCAUUUGACAAAUCUGUUAAAUUAGCCCUUGAUUGAUGGUAUUUGUCAGAAUAUGGUCAUGUCUGUAUGGUUAUGCUAUAAUCUUGAAUUUGGUCAUUGCUCUUAUACUUUUGUGUUUCUAUUUAUUGAAUAUUUGAACUGAAUUUUCUCCUUGAAUUUUGUUUCUGCCGGCAGAAAGAUGUAUCCUGAUGUGGAAAAGGUCACAACUGUGACCAUCAUCGAGGGAGUUGCACCAAAGAACACGUACGUUUGAGUUCAUAUCCUGUUUUCAUAUUUAUUUAUUUAUAUGUCGAGAUCCAAAAUAUAACUCAACCCAAGAAAAAGUUUUAUAUCGGUAAUCCGCCAUUGAUGCAGAUACUCUGAUGAAUCUGCUGAGAAUAGCUCUGGUGCUGAAGGAGGUCAUGGCUGCAAGUGCGGUGCAAACUGCAAAUGUGACCCUUGUACCUGUUGAAGACAUAAUAUAUAGUUAGUUCCAAGUCCCCCAAAGCAGCUGUUCUGAUCUUGUCAUCAAGAAAACUCUUUGGGGGGAAAGAGAAGUGCUUUUGAUGUGGUCUGUGCUUGUAAUAUAUAAUAAGAUGGUCAUGGCUUCUGCAAAUCUAUGUCCUAGAUUUGUCAGAUAAAUCAUGGCCGUGAACUCCUGAGUCCUUGUAACCAUCCUUGUUUUGUGUCAGUUUACUGAAUUGCAAUGCUUGCUUAUUGAAGAAAUGAAUGUUGUUAUAUAUGUAUAUAUGUGUGUGUGUGUGUAUAUAUAUCUUGACUAUCUUGACAACAAUUUGAUCGUACAGAAGAAUACAUUAACAACAACUAUUCAACAAGACACAGAAAACUUACAGAACCUCAGAAAGUACGGUUUGUGCUAGUGCUACAGCAACAACAUUAUGCAGCAAACAAAAGUUCUUCCCUGCAUCAAACGAGUUAGAUACACAUCCUGUGGCACAUGAUUAAACUUGGAAAGCCCUCAAUUGUCAUAUAUAAAAUAAAACAAAAAUGAGAUCAUGUAAAAUAGAUGUUGGAAUGCUCAACCUAAUAAAGCAGACGUUGUUUUGAUCCUGUCAUUGCUCCUAAUUCAUUCAUUUCUCUUUUAAGUAUCCAUUCAUUUCUCAUGAUUCAGUUUAACUGAACAUGAAAUAUGGUAUGCUGCGCUGAUCUUGACCAUGUCAUGACUUGGAAUUCAAUAAUUGCCUUUCAAAGUUAUAGGGUUGAAGAUGUGAAGGGUAUGAUAUGCUAAUCGUGUCUUUCUGGAGGAUAUAUUUCAACAAAGUGAUAUAGAAUCAUGCGUAUGAAGACGUAGUUACAUUUGAAGAUCUUGCCUCUUCAUUCUACGAGAAACAAGGAAACCUAAAAGUUUACCAUUCACCACAUUCAUGAUGCACCAAUUAGUUGUCAAACAACAGUUGUUUGGUUCAGUGAAAAACAUUAUUGUAAUUACUGGAGAUCUAGCAUGCACUUCCCCAACAUUAGCUGCAAUUAAGCUUCCUUCACCAUACUGUCUGAAUUAAGAUACAUACCGGGGGUGGUUUCCACAAAAUCAGCAAAUUGGGCCAGCAGCACCAACUUGCAAUUUGGUUGAUGCUUCAAAUGACUAGGAGGAAUUCCCAUGUUAUGACUGAAACGAAGGGCAACAUUCAUCAGCAAAUGACUACUUUCUGUGCAAAGCUUAUAUCUAGCUGGAGUUCAAUCCAAUAUCAGCAAAAUAUUGGAGUUACUUUACAAAUUCCCAAAAAAAAAAAAAAAAAAAUCAGAUCUUUGCAUGAACUACCAGAAACCCUAAUUCUCUUUUAAAAGAAAACUGUGGCUAGAUUUCAUGUAACUAACAAUUGUUUUUCUUUUCUUAUUUCACUCCUACAAGUAACAGCUUCUGAUAAGCUUAGUAUUCAUUCAUUUAUUGAACCAUUUGGUGUGAAGGUUCAAGGUAACGAGGAGGCUGUUUCUGGAACAGAUGCAGAACUCUCAUCAAGGGCACCAGAUUUCUCUUGCUCAGCUACUACCACAAGCAUCUCUAGGCGUUUAUCAAAAAUUAGUGCGCUCUCGUCUCUCUUAUCAAGUUCAGCUCCUUCAGCCUCGAGCCAUUUCUCUCGCAAAUCAUCUAGGAGAUUCUCCUCAACUGUAUUCAAUUCAGCUCCUGGUGCACUUGGAGCUGUGGUACGAAGAGUGGAUUCUCCAGAAGGUGGUGGAAGUGUUAAAAGCAUAGCCCUGAACUCCGGAGUUUCAGCAAAUAUCUCAAAGUUACAAGCUAUUGUAUCAAGACAAUGCUCCCGAAUCUUCACUACGCCAUACCUGCAUCAUUUAAAAGAUUGUUCAAACAAAAUCGCAUUUAGCUAAAUGAACAAAAUAAAGCAUUGCACGACAGAGGUUAAACUGCAUUCAACAGAAGAAGGAAAAAUAUUUUACCCUCCUAUUUAAUUUGAUAAUCAACAGCAUGCCUAUUUAUAGGAAAUUGGUCAACCAAAAUGAACCAACAUGCAAAUUUUCUCAAAAAAAAAAAAAGGUUGAAAAUUGUCCCACUUAAAAAAAUUUGUUCUGAAAGCCUAACCUUCUAUUAUCUUUUACCAUGUCCGGGUACCCAAUUAGGAAGAUAAGAGCAUACAUGUAUUUAGCUGGAAGUUUACAAGCAGGAGCAAAAAGUCAGAAUCAUCAAAAUAUUUUUCCCUUAACCAUCUUAGAAACAAAUGCAAGGAAAAAAUGGGAAAUUAAAAUCUGGGGCCUCGGGCUACCAAUUGGCAGCCACCAGAUCAAGUACCGAAGUUUUUCCUCAAAAAUAAGAGCCAAGAGAUUGGCCACAAGGUUUAGGCCCAUCAUUUCAUAACAGAUAUUGUUGUGGUUUUAGUGGAGUUGAUCAGAUUGGAUUGAAGAAACUAUAGCCCUUUUGGUCUGUUCUCACAGAGCAUGAAAUUGUUCCAACUUCAACUUGAUGACAGGUCAAACAGCAUAAGUAAGAAUACCUUGAAGAAACAAACAAUGUUUAACUAACUAUAUGUGAAUACUUCAGCAGCAUAUUACUGGCAUGGAAGGCUCCUUUGCUAGCAAUAUCCACCUUUGCAGAUUAGUUUCCUCGUAAUAAGAAAUUUCAUUUUUAAGUUAACAUUUAUUUCCUAUUUAAAAUGAAAUGCUUAGAAGAUAUAGAAAAAGAAUAAUAUGAUAAUUUCAACUUUUUAAAGCUAGAAAAGAGUUUAAGAAGCAAUAAGUAUAAAGCAUAAACAAAAAGCAUACAUGUCUGACAACAUCAGCCAAUGACAGAGCUCUGCUGGAGGAACCAUUUCUAGGUGCGGCAACAGUGCAUCAGCGACAGCACGUUUAAGCGAAAAUAAAAGAUAUCUUGAUGCCACAUCAAACAACUCUUCAGCCUGCAUUGAGAAAAAAAACCAUCACCAAAAGCUUACUACCAGAAAUUAGUAAUCAAAACUCAACAAACAGCAUUAUUAUACAGCUCCAAUUCUGUUAAGAAUAAGAAUGUCGAAUGAUACCUGAUCAGGAUCUAUGUCCUUCAGGCCAUCAGUGUACCUAAAUCAGCACAAAAAUCAUACAUAUUAAGAAAAAGAAGCUUGAAGGUACAAAAGGUUGGACAGAGUAAAUAUGCCAGGAUCAUCUUUCCAGAAACUAAACACCUAACAUUAUACUGACAGUGAGCAACGGCAAAAUGAACAAGGACAAGAACCAAAUAUCACAAAAGUAAUAUAUGGGUCAUGAUGGGGUCAACAGAAUUGCUACAUCAUGCAUGAGAUGAGCUCUACCACUACGUGCUGUUAGAGUAAAUAUAUUCCUUAUUUCCUUCUAUCCAAUAUAUUUUCUUUCCAUGCUUUAAUAGUUAACCAAAUUAAAAGCCAAAUACACACUAAUAACAUCAGACAUAUAACAAGAAGGAAGCUUGAAGGGACAAAAUGAUAGAAAGAGUAAACAUGCCAGAAUUAUCUUUUGAGAAAGUAGAAUUCAUAAUGAAAUUUUGACAUUCUGGAACACCAAUUUGAACAAGAAACAGAAUAACUAAUAGAACAAAGUAAACAGGCCAUCAAAUCUCGUCUCAUGGGGUUAGCAAGGUCACUAUUCUACGCAUGAGAUACUACUUCACCAGCAUGUCCCAUUUUAGUAGCUAUAUUACUUAUUUCAUUCUCUUAAAUAUGUUUCUUUUGCAUGCUUCAACAGUUAACUCAUUAAAUACCAAAUAUACACUAUUAACAAGAAAAGUAGGGAGAUACUUGGCUAUGACACCUGAGUCAAAUUAUAUGAGCAUAGUAAAUAUUCAACUCACCUACGAGCAGGAACUCUAUGGCAAGUGGAGACCUCCAGCACAAAGAACUAUGAUUCUAAUUCAAACUUCAAACUACAUGACCUACUCGAAGUGAAGCAUAAACUUACAUAUAUUCUAUCAUUUUCUCAAAAGCACCCACGCUCAAAUCAUGUUCUUCAAGACAUGGAAGGGUACUAUCAGGCAAACUGUCUCUUCCUUCAUGGAACUCCUUAACCCGGGAUAAUCUUGCUUUGAAAUAUUCGGACCUUGAUGCUAAGAUGACUUGAUGGCACCUAAAAAUUUUCUUUUCAACUAGCACACAAACAUCUGCAAGAUCAUCUUCAAAUCCAACCAUCUGCAUUAAACCAACACGAGAUACAAGACUAUCAACAGGACUAUCCAGGCUUUCUUCUCUUGUUGAAUUGGCAAGAGAAAUUUGAAGAAUUUCAUGUAAGGCCACAGGAAGACGGUCAUCCUGUGGAAGGGAAAGACCCUGCAAAAUGAAUCGCUUCUGAGAGUUGUCUAUCUCCCUAAGGUCCUUGUAAUCUGCAUACUGUUGAUGGAUUAAUUCUUUCUCAAGAACUUUUUGAAGUGAUUGGCACUUGCAAACUCUGCAAAUUCUCACCAAGUCCUCCAUGUCAUCUACUGAGAUUUCAAGCCGAUCACUAUAAAAAAAGUGAAUGAGGCUAAAAAGAGCAGGGUAAGAUAGCUUUUCCCUUGAGAAUCUUAUUUCCUUGCGAUCCUUCCAAUCUGUCACAAAUUUCCUCUUAAAGAAAGGUGAACGGGCACUCAAGAUGACUCUAUGAGCUUCAAUAGGUCUUCCCUGCACAUAAAGCACAGCAUCUGCAGGGAAGUGGUCUGAAGUGGAUCCUCCAUUUGGUGAAUAACCUAUUGAUUCUAUUACUCCAGGUCAGAUUAAUGAAGAUAAGAAUUCCUGACAGAGAAAUGUCUAUAUAGUUUAUCAGUCAGAAAACAGCACAACAUGAAUUCCAAAAUGCUAAUAUUAAAUUAAUAUCAAACUAAAGCAUCCACAAGCAAAGCAAUCAGAUGUAGCAAAUCUUCCAGCGUGUUUCAGCAUAAUGCCACCUUAAAUCUGGCAAAGAAUGUGAAGCUUUGAUAUGCAUUUUGAAGGAAAAUUGUUUUACGCAAUUUUAAAAUAAAAUUGUGAAAUAAGUCUCAGAAGUAAGCCUUGUUUUUAGUUAAAGCCAUCAUGAGCUAGCACCAACUAAUGCAAGAAUAGAUCAAAAGGCAAGCAUCUCUUGGAAAACACAAACUGGAUGAAAGAAAAUAAGGACCAUCAAUCAACCCUAACUAUCAAUUGUUGUUUUCCAAAGGAUCUAUCAUAGAAGAGAAGCCCAUCAUAUAUAGCCUUAAAACCAAGCAAUAUAAGACCUAGUUGAAUCCAAAAGUUUCCCAGAAAGAAUCAGAAAACGAGUCCCAAGACCAUGCUUAAAUUACCCAAAAUGCUAAUCUUUGCACACAAACCUAUUGAAAACCUUUGCAAUCACCUUUAUUUGGCUAUUGUAUUUGUCCCAUUGGAAUUCUUUCAAUCCCCACGCCAUCAGGGCAUAACAAUCUUCUGCACCUAACUAUAUGCCCUCCAUGAGAAACAUUCGACUGGAGCAUCUUAAGCCGAAUAUUCGUACCAAAAAGUCAUUUUACUCCAGGCUUAAGUUGAACAUUUAUGGUUCUCGCCAAACACCAGGUUCAAUAACAACGUUUAGGUAAUGCUCUCAACCACUCAAAUGGUGCAAACCAGUGUUGAAUCAACAGCCGAACCUCGAUUUCAAGUUUUUCAAGAUUACACAAUCUUCUCAACACGGAAAAAGAACUCAGUGUGGUAUUUGUUAGUUACUCCAGCUUUCACAAGUUUUCUUCAUUUCUUCACAAGGAUAUUGGCCUCCCAAAUACUUGUCCUCUUUCCUUUCCUACUUUAGGACUUUUCUUUCUAACAUUUACACAUAAAAACAAGUAUUCUCAUAUGCUGUUGCUCCAAAGUAUUAAGCUUUUUCAAAGACAAAACAGUCCUUUUGAAUUCCUCGACUAAAUUUUCCUUCCUUUUACAGCAUAUUCUCUUUUUAAUCUAAGAACUAUACAUCAGUCAAAUGGGCAAGAACAAAAACAAAACAUUCAAAUCAGACCUGGAAUUGGGAAUUGAGCUUGGCCAUCCAGUUGCUCCAAAUAAGCCUUGUUAGCCCAACACCCCAAGAAGGUCUCCCUCAAUGCAGCCUGCAAAGGCCCCAAAGGAGGCGGGCGAGCUUCAAAUGCUUUCAAUAGCUUCCUAACUUUAAGAUUAAGCGCGGCAUAGUGACAGCGAUCGCCAUCAAACGUGUGCUCAGAGCAAAUGGCCCCGCUUUCCAAAAGCAUCCUAGCGGCAUCCAAAUGCCCCGCAAGGCAAGCGUAGUAAAGGGCCACCGAAUCCCAUUGGUCCCGAGCAUUUACGUUGACGCCGGACUCCAACAAGUACUUCAACCGGUCAACGUCCCCGGCCCUGGAAGCCUCAUAAACGUCGCCGUAUGGGACCUUUUUUAAGGGAAGUGAGGAGGUGAAGUCCUCAGGGUCCAAAUCAAUUCCAUCCAAGUCUGACAUAUCUGUAAUGGAGGAUCAAAAUUGCUAGUAAUGAUUAAAUGCCGCAAAGGUGUUCGAUGAAAUGCGUCAGUGAAGUUUGCUUUGUAAUUGUGGUAGAAAUUAAACAUCUGGGUUUUGUGAAUUUAAGGACAAAUCAUGCUGCUGUUGAAUUUUUUAAAUUUUGACCGACAGAAUUUCUGGGCUUUAGGAAUACUGAAAACGAUUUCCAGAAUUUCAGCAAGGAAGAUAGAAAGGAAGGGAAUGAUACCGUGACAGAGACUGUAUUGGGCCUUUAGCGUGGAAGGGUCCAACAUGGCUACAUGGAUUAAACUGUCAAAUGCAUCUAUCGACCGGGCUUUACUAAGCCCUGGGGUGAGUUAAGACUUAAAGGACUGGAAACUUAAGUAGUUACAGGCCUAAGAUUCGCCUCCUAGGCUGACGCUCUGAAUCCUCCAUUUCAGCCCAUUUAUUUCAGUGAUCCUUGGGCAGGCUAUACAAGAGGUUGAAAGCGAGGCACUCUUGAUGCGUGUCCAACUUGUUAAAAAAUAUUUUCAAUUAAAAGAAUUACAAAAAUAGUGUAAGUAAAUAUAACUAUUUUAUGUAAUAUGUCAUAAAAAGUGUAUUAUAGAGAAAUAUGUAUAAUUGGAAGCAAAAAAACUGUUAGUAAGGGAGAAUAUGAAAAUUGAAGGAAGGUCAUUUUGGUUGAAUAAGAUUUGUAUAUCAGUUGAUAAUAGAGAUAAUGAUUAAUGGAUAAUAAAGAUAAAGAUAAAUUUGAGAAACAAAUAAAGUUAAUAUCAAAUAUUUAACACCUAUUUUAUUUUUUAUUUUACAAACAUAUAAAGAUUAGAAUUUCUUACUCUCGAUCUGUAUCUCUUUACUUCCUUUGAAGUCCAUCUCUCUCGUUUUGUUGUUCUAUUUCUUGCUGUUCUUUCCUCUCCUUUCUUGCCAUUUCGGUUUAUACCCAAUUGUUGAUUAUGGAUCUGUAAUUAGUAUGUGUUUGAAAGAUGAAACUCAGAUGGAGACAUGACGUGAUUUACUGAAAGUGAGAGAAAAAUAAAUAACGACGAAAAAAGUAGCCAGAAAAAAAAAAAAAAAAAAAUAAAAAACUUCUUGUCAUUGAGUCGCGAGGUUUGAUUUAACCUAGCUUUCUUCUUUUACCUUCUUAAAGUAAACUGGUACUAGACACCUAUCCCGUUCACAGUCGAACAAUCCGAGUUUGAAAACACUUAGUUUUGAGAGGAUAGCACUUGGAUAUGAUCUCCUAUAUCGAUCCUAAUAUAUAUUGAAAAUGAAUUUUUUUUUUUUUUUUUUAUGUUUUCAUUUGCUUCUUAUCUAGAUUUUAGAUUUUUUUUUUUGGGUACAAGGGUAUUAGAUUUGUCACUAGGUAGAAAAAAAAAAAAUUUUCUAAAACUCAAAAUUUACCUAAAAGUAACUUUUUGGUUUCACAUUCUUUUUUUUUUGUAAAAGUACUUGCUAGAAUGCAAAAUUUAACCCAAAAAUAAAUAAAUUGUAUUUUAUCGUUCUCGCGUACUGUUGAAUUUUUAAAGAAAGAUCCACUUCUUGAAUUGUUGUUUUGGUAUGAGAUCAGGAAAGAGAUGACCUUAUAGUUUGAUCAGGUCCGGGUCCGCAAGCACGCUUCCAGGUAAAGGAACAGAAUUGCGUAAUGAAAUUGUGUGAAAUCGUUUCAUUUUCAUACUCCUGCCAGUUCAGAUCAGGCCUUAUAUAACAAGAAGCCACCAAGUACAUACCAAACCAAACCAAGUACUAAUCUUAUAUAUAUUAUAACAUAAUCCAUAUGUUUGCAGGGCAAUCCCGACAGUUUAUUCAAUCUGCAAGGCUAAGACAAGAAACAGAGACAGGUUUGCGUUUUACACACAAACUCCUAUUGGAGUUGUGCCACAACACGUACACUAAUAGUUAUAGCAGGCAACCUGGUGCGCAUGAUCUUGAGGGCACAUAUCUGAAACCCUCGGCCCUUCACCUCCUCGGCUGAAGCACCUUACUCAUGAUCUCAAACGUAGUGUCGAAGAAAUCCUUAGAGCUCAUUGUUGCCGAAAUGUCGGCUUCAGAGAGACGAUAUACUGCACUUCCCUUGUAGAAGAAUAAUAUCGUGUCUUGAUCGGUCAAGCUAUAGCGAGCUACAUGUUCAGGUACAUCUUUCUUUUCCACCUCGUAUAUGUCUGAGAAGAAGCUUAGGAUCCUGGAAUAAUAUGCUACCCAGUCAGUGACCUGCAAAUAGACAACAAGAUGACAGGUGGUUAGGGGCACAAAUACAUAACCAUUUUUUAGGGUUUGAUUUGUCAUUCUCUGGUGCAACGAAUAUUUGCUAAGUUUUAUUUCCAUGAGCGAAAAAGUAAUUUUAUGAUAUAAUGCUAGAAACAAUAGUUUCCUUUAACGAGAAUAUUUUAAAUAAAAAAUCUUCUAAACAUUGAAACGUAAAAAUUUCUUUUGGAUGAGUAUAUUUAAAACACCAAAAUAGUUGAUAAAUCUCUCAAAAUUCAUUUGGAUCAACACUGCAGAUUCGAGAGCACAACUAUGGCCUGUUUAACUUCGUCAACUUCUUCGAAAUUCGAGAAUCAAAUCGUGGCUUUAAUUGCAAGGUUACAAUACAAAUUUCUUGAAACAAAAAAAUAAAAAUAAAAAUCAUACUUUUGCUUACAUAAAGCUUACCAGAAAAAAGUUACUUUUCCUUUCUGAAACAUAAAGUGAAAAAAAAAAAAAAAAUUGCGACACUCAUUAAGAAGGGUUUCAAGUAAAUAUUUUGUUUUUGAAAAAAAUGUAAUUAAUUUAGAAAAGUAUCUAAAUGCAGAGGGCAUAAUAAUCGUACUUAUGUAUAUUCAUAUAGCAAUUUAAGUGUAAUCUAGAUGUGCUAAUGAGUAUUUAAUGGACACCCAUUGAAAAAAUUCAUUAAAACAAUUAUGUUGUGUUGCAGCCAACCGCUUAUAGAUAUAGAGGGUGCCGGAGAUGAUGUACCUUCCCGGAAUCCGGGUAACCUCGAUCAAAAAAUCUGAUGAUUACGAAGUUUUUGGAUGCAUUAUUAAUAGCUCGAUCGACUUUAAAGGCUCUAUCCAGGGUCUUCACGCUGGACAUGGCUAUUUUCUUUCUGCUCUUGCUCUUGCUCUCUCUCUCUCUAUAUCUCGAUCGCUGCUCUAUUUAUUUAUACACGAAGAAGCCUUUUGAUGCAAUUUACGUAGUGAAGUCACUGGUAUAUAUAGAUAGAUAUUCUAAACCACAACGCUGUGCCAAAGGAAAUUCCAUAACAAGCACAUCUUAUUCCAUUUGAUAACUUGUUCGAAUUUGCGCCGGCCACGAAAAGCAAGUGUCAGUUGGACAGCUGCGUAGCUGUGUGAGUGGGCAUCGUAUCUUUUGUGCUAGAGAUCAGAAAUCACCAAAGGAGAAGGAACAAUAUUUAGUUGGAUUCUUGACAAAUCCGAAAAGCAAUAAACCAAACAACUAGGCCUUAAACAAGUCAAACUUAUAUGUAUAUGUUUGUGUGUGUCUAUAUAUAUAUAUAUAUAUAUAUAUAUAUAUCUCCUUAAGUGUAAUACCAUACUUCACUUAAUUCCUUUAAAAUUUUUAUGGCAAAUGUUGUCAAAAGUGCAGUAAAUAGAACUUCGAGCAGUUAAAGAAAAAGCAAAUGAAGAAGUAAAAAGUAUAGAAGUGAAGGGAAUAGGAAAUUCGUUUUAAUCUAAAUUUCACCAUGAUCUUAUAAGUAACACUUAUUUUCAUAUAAAAUAUCAUGAUUGAAUGCAUGCGUGAUACAUAUGCAAAAUUUAAUUGUCAUAUACAAAACAGUGAUAGCAUAUAUAUAUAUAUAUAUAUAUAUAUAUAUAUAUAUAUAUAUAUAUAUAUAUAUAUAUAUAUAUAUGACAAUGUAUAGAAGAUUCAUCCUAUAAGUGAUAUUACUUACUUCUAGAUUUAUUCUUAUACUCUAGAUUUUUCUUCUUUAAUGAUUAAAAGAACAUAGAGCAACUUGUUUUCUGUUUUAUGUUGCCUUGAUAAUUUUUCUUCCUAGUGAAUUUAUGUUUUGACCUCUAUUAGUCUCUCACUUUAAAAAAUUAAAAGUUACAUGAGAAUGAGAAAUACACACAAUUUUAAAAAAAAAAAUCACUUCCAAUAACCACUUUAUUUCAUAACACGCUCAUAAAGAAAUUGUAGGAAUCAUUUUAAUAUCCUGUUCCUCUAGAUUUCUGGUAAUUGAUAAAUAUUGAACCGACCCUAGGUUCUUUUUCAAGAUAAACAAAUAAAUAAAUAAAUAACCCAUCGGCCUCUUGUUUUCUGAGCACAUUGUACAAAUAAGGAAUGGACUCCAAUUGAUUCUCUCCGGGACAAAGAACAGUACUGUGCAUCAUGUUGCAAUGAAAGCAAUGUGAAACGAAUCUAUCAUUGUCAUAUGCCAAUGUAUGCAUAGUUAAUUUAUUCCUCUUUCUUUGGCCUGUGUCCAAUAAAAUGUACUCUUUUUUCUGUUCGAUAAGCUCUUCCUAUCUGGAAAGCAUAUGAUUCGAUGUAGACCCGAUCCAGAAAUGGCUCAGGCCAUUGUAUGGAAGGCAUCCAAUUCGAAAGAAACCAGCAACGUACUCCUUUCAUUUCAUUGAGCCGUUGUCAACCUUUGCCUACCAAAUUCCCUAUUUUUUUUUUCUCUUUUUGGCUGCUCUUUUACUAGGUCUCUCAUAUUUUAUUCCCAUUUCAUAUGCCAAUUCUAAUAAUGCUCAGAUAAAAGAAUAAAUCUUUCACACAUUAAUAAUUAAUGGAUACACUUACGGAUUUAGACGUAUGUUACAUGUUCAAAAUAUUUUGUUAAAAUUAAAAUUAAGAUAUGUCAUAUUCAUCCAAAUCCAUUAAUAUAUUUAUUGAUGUAGAAAAUAUUAGUCGCAGAUAUUUUUUUUUUAUCCUUCAAACUUUUUUCUUUUCUUUUUAUAAUUUCCGGAAACUUCACAAGUUCAUUAGGAAGACGCAGAAAAAGGGCUUGAAGGAGCUGGAUUCAAGAAAAAACUUAUAGUACUAUUUACAUAUUGCUGAAACACACCAGAGUAGACUACAGAAAUCAGAAAAGCAUAUUACUCCAUCAGUAGGAAAGGGCAAAGCCUUACUUUUAAUGAUCAAAGACCUUAUUGCAGCCAUUUACUUGGUUUUGAUGCCAUGCUUAAUCUCAGGAAGUACCAAGUCAUCAGCAAAACGCCUGCCCAUAAACUCCUUCAUCAUGAAAAUGCGAAGCACAUCUUCUGGCGUCUGAUUUGCACUUGAUUCCACAAAGUUUCCCUUGUCAGCUGACCCCAUAUCCAAACCUCUGCUUUGCAUUUCUACUCUUUUUUUUUUUCAGAAACGAUAGAAAUUUUAUUUAUAAUAAUGAAGAAGACAUUACAUUAUAUGAGCCAGGACUCAAACUUGGAUUUUACAAAAGUGAACUAGGCCACUGAGGAGAUUAGAGUUCCUCAUCAUAGUAUAAGCAUAGCUAAUCUACUCAGUUUUGCACUGAGUCUAUUCACUUCAAUGGUAAACAGUCAAAUGAGCAUUUCCUAAACAUUGAAUUAAGAUCUUUUGUGUCCUCCAGGUGAGUUGCCAGGCUUAAGUUGCUAGAAACUUGAUACCUUAUCAGCGGAGACUUUCCCUCCGCCACCACCUCCAGUAACUUGGGUCACUUCUUUUGUUUGCUGAGAUUCUCAGAUUUCACAUCAUUCAUUGUCUCAGAAAUAAUUUUAGCCACUGUUUUUCCACCAGGGAUCAAUUCCCGGAGAGCAUGACGAGCAGCAUUUUGGGCGAACUUGGAAGCGAAAAGGGCGAUACUUGACCGGGUUUUCUCGCUGGGCAUGUAGUCAUUGAGCGCCCGCAUCCUGUUGACUCUGACGGCCUUAUCGAUGUUGCCAACUACGGCAGAGCUGUAACCGUAGGAGGCUUUGCAUGCAUCUAUGACGGCCGUUGGAGCGGGUGCGUUUCGCUUCAGGGCUUCAGUUGUUGAGUUGAUCAAGUCCCAGAAUCCCAUCUGCUGCUCUGCUUUUGUUAUCCCUCAAUUUUCAGAUGUGGAACCACUAUAACUAUUGCAGGUCUGCUAUUAGUCGCAGAUAAAUGUGAUGAUUGGUGAAUGAGGCGGCAAUGUCCCAAUAUAUAUUGAUUAUUUGGGAUAAGAGGGCUAAUUGGAGUGCUAAUGAAGUACAAUAGUACAUCCAAAAAAGGCCCAUUUUCUAGUGAUAACUUAUAAUCAAGUAAACUUAUAAAACUUAUUUAGCUAGGCAUAAAAUAUUAUCUGUAUUGCUACAUAACGCACUUGGUUGAGAUUGGGAUAUUACUUUAGGCCUUAGGGCCGUGGGAUCUAUUAUAUUUAAGCGGGCGUCAUGGGCGAUAAUCCCAUUAAAUUAGUCAGUUUAGGGCCAUGUCAUGACUAUAUAUCUUUUCAGAGGUACUCUAAUACCCUCUUUGGAUUGCUUUCACUGUAAGUAAGGUUGGAAUCUCCGACCUUCAAUUCGAAGAGAAAUUUAAUUCUUUUUUUAUGACUACUGACUCAAAACUCGGUGGUCGCAGAUGUCCAUUAUCAAGUAAUCACAAACAUGAGUUAGAAAGGCAGAAAGGAAGGUUUGGAAAAGCUUCCGACUGACUGGUUGAAAAAGUAAGUGAAGGAUGCCUUGGGAAAGCAUCCGACUAAAGCGAUAAGCAGUAUAUCGGUUAGUGCGUUCUCUUGGACUCUCUGCCUUAGCCUGCUUGUCCUCGCUUUCAGAAAGCGACCACAUCAGAGGCAGGGAAAGAAGCUUUGGGAGAGCAUCUGACAUGACUCAACUCGGUAGUAAUAAAAAUUGGACUAAGUUUGCUUAUUGACGUUGAACAAGAAAUAUGCUCGUAAACAAGAAACUCACAAGGUGAAAUUAAAAUUUCAAUCAUAAAUGGGAAAAAGAAAUCUCAUGCAAACAACUUUUGAUAAAGUCACGCAACAGUAAAUCAAGUAGAGCAGCAUAUUGUGGACGUGGAAGGAGGUCAAGCCAUGUCAUCUGCCAAUAGAUGGUAGCCCCCAAACAUGCCUGGUCGAGAAUGGAAAAGGACCGUUCGUAAAAGCAAAGGAAGGUGCAACCAGAAGAAGAUGACGGCAGGGAAACAGGCCACAAUGGUGAUGGGAAUGUAAGCCCACUUUUGCCUUGAUUGAAGUGACAGUCCAAUUGUUGUGCCAAAAGAUAUCAUCAUUGUAAUUACAGCAAUAGACAAGAAAACUAGACCUCUGAACAAAAUCUUGGGAAGUGACUCCAGAAAAUCGUCUUCUAUGUAUCGCGAUGUUUGAAUCGAAAGGAACAUAAGCAGAGAAACUGCAGAGGAUAUCAUGGAUAAUGCAUUUGAUAUGGAAAAUAUUGAGAAAAGUUUUUUCCUCGCCAGAACUGGCAUGCCCGUCUCACUAUCAUUGCCACCGGGUACGGUGAUCAUAGCAGCAAAUGCAACUGUUGCGACCAGAGUAGCUACCACCAUGCAUGAGUUUGAUAAAUCCUUCGUCCAUCCCUUUGCAUUCUUUAGCAACUUUUCAUGGGUAUCAGAGAAUAAUUCUCGAGGAGUUUUCCCUUCGUCAUUCUUUUUUAUCCUUAACUCGUAAUAGACUAUUGCUUCCACGGCCUGCAUGCAGUUAAUUUGAGGAUUAGUCUAGGUUUCUAUAUGCACUCCAAUUGCUAAUACUAGGUUUUUAUGUGCACUCCAAUUGCUAAUACUGGGGCAAAUACUUUGUAGGGGUAAAAAAUAAAAAAGUCCUCUGUGGAAAAUUUAAUAUACAGAAAAGUUCUCCGUGAUUUCAAAAUAUUCAACACGACAUCUCGUAUUUUGAACUAAAUUAUAAAUGUAACGGAAUCCGUUAAACUUAACGUAAAUGGAGAAAGUAACCAAAAUGCCCUGAUAUAAUUAAGCAAAAGACAGUUCAAAAAAAUUAUUUGUUUUAUUCUUUAGAUAGAGAGAAUUGAGGGUUAAGGGGUAAAACAGGUAUAUUUGUUAAAAAUUAGGUAUAAAAUUUUUUUUUGAGGUUCCAAUAAGUCAUAACACAAAAUGAGAAAACUAAGGACGCUACAAAAGGCUUUAGUUUUGGGUGCACUAUUGUGCGUUCUGGCAUUUGUUUUUGUUACACCAUAUAUUUUAAGGUGACACUUGCCUCUUUAGUUUAUAUCCUGUAGCCAUUAGGUUCAUUCAGACAACUAUCACACUAAAAUAUGGUGUAAUGUAGGUGUGAUAUGAAAAAGUAUGAUAGAAAGAUCCAAAACGCAGUAUUUAGAAGUAUGAUACGUGCCAGGUUAAGCAAGAAACUUGCAUGCAAAGGAGACUAAUCCAAGGUAUUGUAAAGACGGUUUAAAAUAGAUCGAAUUACUACAACAUGGCAUUACGUACCUUGAACCAUUGGAAUUCUAGCUGCAUCUGAAAUGCAGGACCUGGCACAGAAGCGACUUGAGAUGUAGAAGCCAAUUUUGCCGCCAAAUGAAGGAUAUUAUUUCCCUUAUCAGCUUGUAAUUCGGCAAAGGCCUUUGUAUUAUUUCCGAUCAACUCUAUUAUGUGAUUAAAUAUUUUCACUUGGCGAUGCUCGACGGCCACGUGCAAUAACAACAGUUUGGCUUUUCUGUUUGCAUACCAAAUUAGAUCAGGAAAAUGAUUUAAACACUCUUCUACAAGUUUAAAAGCUCCUUGCUCUAUGGCUAAGUGCAAGAUUGGGGUAUGAUUAUCAGGGAUGAAGUAUUCCUGAACAGAAUUGGUAUCUUCUUCCUUUUUUAACUGCUCGCAGACAAACUCUACAAUUCCAAGUGCUUGCAGGUGCCUUUCCUUUAUCUUGGACACCUCCCUUAUUACUGCAACAAAUAGAAAGACCAGACAUGUAAGCAUCGACAAGACUUACGUUUAAAUUGAAAUUUAGUAUAUUUGAAAACCUUAUUUAAGAAUAAUGGUGUCGUAUUUUAGUGACAUACUAUAGAGAGAUAAUAUGUUGGAAAAGUAAAAUUUUGGUUGGACAACAGUGUUUGAGAAAUAAUAUAAAAAUUUUCUAAAAAAUGGGCAACCCAUUCACAUAAAUUUGUAGGAGUUAGGGAUGGCAACGAGGCGGGGUUGGGGCGGGGGACCCCUCCCCCGUCCCCCGCCCCGUUGCCUAUUAGUUCCCCCCGUCCCCCGCCCCAUCCCCCGCCUCCCGCUCCCCCCGCCCCUGCCCCGCCUUGCCCCGCUUCCCCCGCGGGGUUAAUAAAAUUUUAUUAUAAUUAAAUUUUAAUAACUAAUCAAGUACUAAAAUAUCAACACAUCACCAAAUUAUUAUUCAUUGUAAUUUUACAAUUGAAACUCAUAAAAACAAUCAAACAGAAGUUAUUUGAAUACAAUCCAAUAUGAUGAAAUAAAUAUAACUAAAAUAGUCAAAUUUUCACUUUUUGUACAAAUGCAAUCACUAAUUCAUCAUUGUGUUUGUGCUUUUUUUUGAGAAAAAAGUGUUAUUCUAUUAAGUGUAAUUAGAAAUUUAGUAUAAAUGUAUUAGUAAAUUUAGUAUAACUAAUUAAUAAAUUAUAUUAGUAGACAUGUAUAAUUAUUCAUAUAAUUGAUAAUAUCAAUUAUAUUACAUAAACUAAUAUACAUUAUAUAAUACAUCUAACUAAUAAUAUCAUUAUCAUAAGUUUAUAAUAAAUUAACUUACAUAUAAUAUAUAGUCAUUUAUAUAUAUAUUUAUAUAUAUAUAUUUUUUGUUUUGCGGGUGGCGGGGCGGGGGUAUACUCCCCCGCCCCCCGCCCCGUUUCUAAGCGGGGGGAAAAAAUUCCCCCCCCGCCCCCGCCCCAACCCCCGCCCUGAUUGCCAUCCCUAGUAGGAGUUCAGCUACAGUAAUCUACGUACUAAUAAUUGAGAAAGAAAUGAAAAAUCGAAAAUAUUCCAAAAAAUCCAGGCUUGAGUAGUCAAUACCUGAAGUUGGAAAUUGAAAAAAAAAAUGAAGACCAUGAGAAUUCAAAGAAUCCAAGCUUAAGAAAUGCCGGAGCAUUAACCAUUGUACAGGACCAAACAUUAUUUGCAACCCAAAUUAGUGGUAAAAGAACUAAUAUCAUUCACUGAUUCACUAUAUUCCUCAAAAACGAAUUGGAGUAAUAAACAAAGAUAAAGUAGACACAGAACUUCAAUACCUUUUCUGAACUUGCUCUUAAAUUUAAAGAAUGAAGCUGCUGCGUCUCGUCGAUUCUUGCUAGUUGGUGAAUCCAUGUGUUCGUGUUCUGUUUCCUCCAUAUCAAUUGUUACCACUAAGAGCAAUGGAAAAUUAGAAAAAACAUCACACAUAUGGGGAACAGAUAAAAUCAGGAACUGCAAAGCAAUGCAGUUGACAGUCAGCUACUAACAAAUUCAAGCCACAUGAGAGAUAGAAGUCCUAUAUCUGAUAGGUGGGUAAGCAUCUUUAUUUUGUUAUAUCCUUUAGGCAAUCCACUUGGGGAAGAAUUUUUUUUUUUUUUUUUUUUAAGAAACCAAGAAAAGAAGGACCCAAGUCUAUAAGUUAGCUCCAUUAAAGUAGAGUUGCUAAUUAGUAGCAAGAUACCAACUGGGCAUUGAGUUUCCACUUUGCAUUUUUACUUAUAUAAAGAAAGGUAAAGGUAAUUCAAUCUGUUUUCAUCUUCAAAAUACUUAUUCCAUUUUAAACAGAAUUCUUACUUUAACUAAACAUAGAUUCAAGUAGAAAUUUGUUUGUCAAAGUAACACAAUAUAAAAAUUUCUAGAAUAUACUAUACAUGAACUAAAAAAUCUCAGGAUGGAACUGCAAGUUUUUUUUUUCCUUAUUUUAGAGAGCACUUACAUUCAUAGAUGCAGGAUUCCCAUAUAGAAAGUUUAUGUCCACUCCGAAACGCUAAAGGCUGCAUUGCAAGUGCAUGAAGUACGGACAUUCUUUGAUCAUUUGUUCGAAGAGCUAAUUGAGGAUAUCUCCUGAGCGUACACAAGGCUGUAUCUGCAAAAGAAAUCUAUAAUCAUUAGUACAGUUGGUUUGAAAGAAUUCAACUCAGACAUUAAGCAUUUGUAGAAGCCAAUUUUGCCGCCAAAUGAAGGAUAUUAUUUCCCUUAUCAGCUUGUAAUUCGGCAAAGGCCUUUGUAUUAUUUCCGAUCAACUCUAUUAUGUGAUUAAAUAUUUUCACUUGGCGAUGCUCGACGGCCACGUGCAAUAACAACAGUUUGGCUUUUCUGUUUGCAUACCAAAUUAGAUCAGGAAAAUGAUUUAAACACUCUUCUACAAGUUUAAAAGCUCCUUGCUCUAUGGCUAAGUGCAAGAUUGGGGUAUGAUUAUCAGGGAUGAAGUAUUCCUGAACAGAAUUGGUAUCUUCUUCCUUUUUUAACUGCUCGCAGACAAACUCUACAAUUCCAAGUGCUUGCAGGUGCCUUUCCUUUAUCUUGGACACCUCCCUUAUUACUGCAACAAAUAGAAAGACCAGACAUGUAAGCAUCGACAAGACUUACGUUUAAAUUGAAAUUUAGUAUAUUUGAAAACCUUAUUUAAGAAUAAUGGUGUCGUAUUUUAGUGACAUACUAUAGAGAGAUAAUAUGUUGGAAAAGUAAAAUUUUGGUUGGACAACAGUGUUUGAGAAAUAAUAUAAAAAUUUUCUAAAAAAUGGGCAACCCAUUCACAUAAAUUUGUAGGAGUUAGGGAUGGCAACGAGGCGGGGUUGGGGCGGGGGACCCUCCCCCGUCCCCCGCCCCGUUGCCUAUUAGUUCCCCCCGUCCCCCGCCCCAUCCCCGCCUCCCGCUCCCCCCGCCCCUGCCCCGCCUUGCCCCGCUUCCCCGCGGGGUUAAUAAAAUUUUAUUAUAAUUAAAUUUUAAUAACUAAUCAAGUACUAAAAUAUCAACACAUCACCAAAUUAUUAUUCAUUGUAAUUUUACAAUUGAAACUCAUAAAAACAAUCAAACAGAAGUUAUUUGAAUACAAUCCAAUAUGAUGAAAUAAAUAUAACUAAAAUAGUCAAAUUUUCACUUUUGUACAAAUGCAAUCACUAAUUCAUCAUUGUGUUUGUGCUUUUUUUGAGAAAAAAGUGUUAUUCUAUUAAGUGUAAUUAGAAAUUUAGUAUAAAUGUAUUAGUAAAUUUAGUAUAACUAAUUAAUAAAUUAUAUUAGUAGACAUGUAUAAUUAUUCAUAUAAUUGAUAAUAUCAAUUAUAUUACAUAAACUAAUAUACAUUAUAUAAUACAUCUAACUAAUAAUAUCAUUAUCAUAAGUUUAUAAUAAAUUAACUUACAUAUAAUAUAUAGUCAUUUAUAUAUAUAUUUAUAUAUAUAUAUUUUUUGUUUUGCGGCGGGGCGGGGGUAUACUCCCCCGCCCCCCGCCCCGUUUCUAAGCGGGGGAAAAAAUUCCCCCCCCGCCCCGCCCCAACCCCCGCCCUGAUUGCCAUCCCUAGUAGGAGUUCAGCUACAGUAAUCUACGUACUAAUAAUUGAGAAAGAAAUGAAAAAUCGAAAAUAUUCCAAAAAAUCCAGGCUUGAGUAGUCAAUACCUGAAGUUGGAAAUUGAAAAAAAAAAUGAAGACCAUGAGAAUUCAAAGAAUCCAAGCUUAAGAAAUGCCGGAGCAUUAACCAUUGUACAGGACCAAACAUUAUUUGCAACCCAAAUUAGUGGUAAAAGAACUAAUAUCAUUCACUGAUUCACUAUAUUCCUCAAAAACGAAUUGGAGUAAUAAACAAAGAUAAAGUAGACACAGAACUUCAAUACCUUUUCUGAACUUGCUCUUAAAUUUAAAGAAUGAAGCUGCUGCGUCUCGUCGAUUCUUGCUAGUUGGUGAAUCCAUGUGUUCGUGUUCUGUUUCCUCCAUAUCAAUUGUUACCACUAAGAGCAAUGGAAAAUUAGAAAAAACAUCACACAUAUGGGGAACAGAUAAAAUCAGGAACUGCAAAGCAAUGCAGUUGACAGUCAGCUACUAACAAAUUCAAGCCACAUGAGAGAUAGAAGUCCUAUAUCUGAUAGGUGGGUAAGCAUCUUUAUUUUGUUAUAUCCUUUAGGCAAUCCACUUGGGGAAGAAUUUUUUUUUUUUUUUUUUAAGAAACCAAGAAAAGAAGGACCCAAGUCUAUAAGUUAGCUCCAUUAAAGUAGAGUUGCUAAUUAGUAGCAAGAUACCAACUGGGCAUUGAGUUUCCACUUUGCAUUUUUACUUAUAUAAAGAAAGGUAAAGGUAAUUCAAUCUGUUUUCAUCUUCAAAAUACUUAUUCCAUUUUAAACAGAAUUCUUACUUUAACUAAACAUAGAUUCAAGUAGAAAUUUGUUUGUCAAAGUAACACAAUAUAAAAAUUUCUAGAAUAUACUAUACAUGAACUAAAAAAUCUCAGGAUGGAACUGCAAGUUUUUUUUUUCCUUAUUUUAGAGAGCACUUACAUUCAUAGAUGCAGGAUUCCCAUAUAGAAAGUUUAUGUCCACUCCGAAACGCUAAAGGCUGCAUUGCAAGUGCAUGAAGUACGGACAUUCUUUGAUCAUUUGUUCGAAGAGCUAAUUGAGGAUAUCUCCUGAGCGUACACAAGGCUGUAUCUGCAAAAGAAAUCUAUAAUCAUUAGUACAGUUGGUUUGAAAGAAUUCAACUCAGACAUUAAGCAUUUGNNNNNNNNNNNNNNNNNNNNNNNNNNNNNNNNNNNNNNNNNNNNNNNNNNNNNNNNNNNNNNNNNNNNNNNNNNNNNNNNNNNNNNNNNNNNNNNNNNNNNNNNNNNNNNNNNNNNNNNNNNNNNNNNNNNNNNNNNNNNNNNNNNNNNNNNNNNNNNNNNNNNNNNNNNNNNNNNNNNNNNNNNNNNNNNNNNNNNNNNNNNNNNNNNNNNNNNNNNNNNNNNNNNNNNNNNNNNNNNNNNNNNNNNNNNNNNNNNNNNNNNNNNNNNNNNNNNNNNNNNNNNNNNNNNNNNNNNNNNNNNNNNNNNNNNNNNNNNNNNNNNNNNNNNNNNNNNNNNNNNNNNNNNNNNNNNNNNNNNNNNNNNNNNNNNNNNNNNNNNNNNNNNNNNNNNNNNNNNNNNNNNNNNNNNNNNNNNNNNNNNNNNNNNNNNNNNNNNNNNNNNNNNNNNNNNNNNNNNNNNNNNNNNNNNNNNNNNNNNNNNNNNNNNNNNNNNNNNNNNNNNNNNNNNNNNNNNNNNNNNNNNNNNNNNNNNNNNNNNNNNNNNNNNNNNNNNNNNNNNNNNNNNNNNNNNNNNNNNNNNNNNNNNNNNNNNNNNNNNNNNNNNNNNNNNNNNNNNNNNNNNNNNNNNNNNNNNNNNNNNNNNNNNNNNNNNNNNNNNNNNNNNNNNNNNNNNNNNNNNNNNNNNNNNNNNNNNNNNNNNNNNNNNNNNNNNNNNNNNNNNNNNNNNNNNNNNNNNNNNNNNNNNNNNNNNNNNNNNNNNNNNNNNNNNNNNNNNNNNNNNNNNNNNNNNNNNNNNNNNNNNNNNNNNNNNNNNNNNNNNNNNNNNNNNNNNNNNNNNNNNNNNNNNNNNNNNNNNNNNNNNNNNNNNNNNNNNNNNNNNNNNNNNNNNNNNNNNNNNNNNNNNNNNNNNNNNNNNNNNNNNNNNNNNNNNNNNNNNNNNNNNNNNNNNNNNNNNNNNNNNNNNNNNNNNNNNNNNNNNNNNNNNNNNNNNNNNNNNNNAGUGCCAAUGUUAACCUUUUCUGUUUCUUCCAGGUUCGGUUUUGGUUUUUCCUCAUAUUGUUCAAAGUCCUUUGCAAAAGAAUCGAAUACUUCCUCAUUAUCACUCUCGCUUUGGAGUUCAGAUUCACAGACCUCCAAGUCGUGAGUGAUAUAGAGAUUGCCAUUAUCGUAUUCCAGAACUGUGAUAUCCAAAGGGUCAAAUAAUUUUAUUUUUGGCCAUCUGAAAGAAUUAACGAAUGUGGGAUAAUAAGUAAAUAAGCAUACAACAAACAAAUGAAUCAAGCAAUAUGAAUAUAAACAAUCGAAUAAACAACACAACAAUGACAAGAACAACUUGUGCAUUUUCAUAAAGACCUUUGAUUGAAAGCAAAUUGAAACGAAAACUUAACAAUAUUUACAUGCACAAACGUUAGUUAAAAGGAAAAUUGUUUUCAUUGGCUAUUUACAGAUGCAAAGGUAUUUUCAUGAAUUCACAUGAAUGAUAAACCCCUUUUAGUUUACCGAAACUCCUUCCGAACGGGCAGGGACUCGGCUGUCCAAUUGGGAAUUGAUCCUUCGGGGAUGUCAGGAAAUUCAGCUUCGCCUGGAACACUAUCCUCAAAUGUUGCCCCAACGAACAAUUGAGCCAAACUUGCUUCAAUUUCGUCGACUGGAUUAACCUCUGAUGUGAUAACCUCUGUUGGUCGUGGAAAAGUAUACCGCAGUGGUGGAAUGUCAAAAACCCUUUGCCUGCCCUCUUUCUCUGCUUUCUUACGUUCCUUCAUUUCUUUGAUAUCCUUAGCAGUUGGUCGGAACCCUAAGCCAAAUGAAUCUUUCUUCUCCAUAAUCUCCACUGGCUUCAAAACUCCUUGCAGAUUUCGUCCUAGUCCCUUGUCAAAUUCAUAACCUCCUCGGAUCAUUUCCUUAGCCAUCAUAACACUGGCCUUUGGUAGAACUUGCUCCUCGUUUGUGAUCCAACUUACAGAGACGAUAUCAGCCGUGCUAUGGGGAGUCAUGGUGACAUUGCGGCUUCCAUCCUCUUUUGUCCCAGAAUCAGUGAUUACAAGGCAAUCCUCUUCGGCAAAUAUAGUGAUCAGCUUGUCAUUCACUACAAACUUUAGCAAUUGAUGCAAUGAAGAAGGCACAGCCCCAGACUUGUGAAUCCAUGGCCUGCCAAGCAAAACGUUGUAAACACUAGAAAAAUGCAUGACUUGGCAGGUUAUUUGAAACUGGGCGGGCCCCAUUUCAACUACUAAAUCAAUUUCUCCUAUUGGCUCUCUUUGCGCUCCAUCAAAACCUCGGACUAUGGUCCCUGAAGGCCUCAACUUGACGUCUUGCAAUCCUAGCUUUUCCAAGGUGCUCCAGGGACAUAUAUUAAGAGCAGAUCCAUUGUCAAUUAAUACCUUCGGCAGCAUUUUUCCGUUGCACCUCACAACUAUGUACAGGGCCUUGUUAUGUCCAAUGCCUUCCGACGGCAAUUCCUCGUCGGAAAAAGUAAUUUGCUUGGUGAAGAGUACAUUCCCAACUACGUGUGAGAAAUUAUCAACUGAAAUGUCUCUAGGAAUUUGAGCUUUAGUCAGUACUUCGAGCAAUGCAUCCCUAUGCACAUCUGAUGAAAAAAGUAGAUCCAACAUGGAUAUUUGAGCGGGCGACUUGCUAAGCUUCUCGAUCACAUUGUAUUCGCUUCUUUGGAGCCUUUUAAGGAAAUCUAAGGCUUCUCUCUCGGUAAUUGUUGGUUUGGCGGGUGGCUCAGAGUUAUUUGCUUGAAUCGGAAUGGUUGCUUCAAACGGGCUUGCAAUUUUCCCCGAUCUUGUGACCACUGAUACUUCCUUCUUUGCAAUUGACCUUUCCCCAAUCUGCACGUCAGGUUCAUCAUAAUUCCAUGGUACUUGUUGCAGGCUCAGGACAGGCUCCUGCUUCGGGAAUUCAAUAACCACCGGCUCCAAAGACUCACUCUCAGCUGGCGUGAGAUCCAAGAUAAAGGGUUUCUCGUCCUCUUCAAAUGGCAGUUCUAUGACAAAAGGUUGGUCUGUGACCCCAAACACUUCAGCUUCCCUUGCCAAUUCUUUGACUGGUUCCACAUACUCCGUAUCAUCCAGAAUAACCCCAAUGGUAUUGGCAUGUUCCGGUAAAGGGUUCCUAUUUACGUUCGGCCCUUGCGCCUCCCUUUUCCGGAUUACAAUCUCCCCGGCUUCAACCAUAUCUUGGAUUUUAUGCUUAAGCGCUUUGCAAUCAAAGGUGGCAUGUCCGGGGCCCCAGAAUGAUAAGCACAGACAGCUUGUGGAUUAUACCACGCGGGCAUACCAUAUGGGUAGGUAGGAGGGGGUACUGUACCAAUUUUCCCGGCGGCCUUCAACUGGUCAUACAAUUGGUCCAGAGGCCUGCCUAAAUUGGUAAAUGUACGGCUAGGGGGUCGGUUGUAAGGUUCAGGAGGUUGAGGAUGGUUGUAAACAGGUCUAUUUGGUGGAGGAAAUCUUGGGUUAUAUGGAGGGCGAGGUCGGUUUUGGGGUGGAUUUGAUUGGGAAAUUUGAAAAGGGGCUGAAGGUGGGUUUGGAUAGCUUGGGCGAGGUCGAAGGUGGUGGAUGUUGGUAGUAUAUACAGGAUGCGGAUUUGAGUAGUAAGGGUAAUGGGGUUGGUAGAUUGGGCUGUGUUGGUAUCGGGGUCUGGGUGAAGGGUUUUGGUUCCAAAUAAAUGUUGCAUCCCCCUCUUUCUUUUUGAACGGCGGCUUCUUCACAUUGCUUCCCUGCCCUUGUAAAGCAUCCAACUGAGAUUUCAGGGCAGAGACAUUGACAAUCUUCCCGGCUCUCACAAAGUCGUCAAACUCUUCCAAUUUAUUCACAAUUGCAGCAAAAGAACAACCAGUCAUACGGAAAAUUUCUUCGAAAUAUGGAGGAUCAUGCGCCUUUAUGAAUGUGCGAAUAAUUUCAUCCUCAGUCAUCGGUGGCUCCACCUUCGCAGCUAUCUUUCUCCAUCUCUUGGCAUAUGUCUUAUGAUCUUCAGAUGGUCGCCUUUUCGUUCCUUCCAGAGUAGUCCGAGUUGGCGCUAGCUCACAGUUAUACUCAUAUUGUCUAAUGAAGGCAUUGGACAGAUCGAGCCAGGUCUUCACUUCCUCCGGCUUUAGGUUGGAAUACCAGUCAAGCGCAUCCCCUUCUAAGCUUUCUGGAAAUAAUCUCAACGGCAAAUUCUCGUCAUCCACUGGCUUGCCCAACUUGUUAGCAAACAAGCGCAGGUGCGUUUUAGGGUUGCUUGUUCCAUCAUAUUUGUUGAAUUUAGGGGUCUUGAACCCCACUGGCAGUUGCACGUUCGGAAACAGGCACAAAUCAUCAUAAUCCAACACCCCUUGUUUGCUUAAACCUUGGCUUUUCCGGAUAAAUUCAUCAAAACGAUCCAAGCGUUUAAGUAACUUCAUAUUAAUCUGGGCAGACGACUCUCCCAUUUCUGGCUUAUUUUGAAAAGUGUGCUCCGGCACCACGGGCUCCGCGGUGGUUUGAUAAAAAGCUGGUGGGUUCUGAUGCAUGUUUGGGUCGCUUUGAGGCUGAAAUCCUUGACCAUAAGGAGGGUAGAAAGGAGGAUUUUGAGUAAAAGCAUAUUGCGGGUUAAAAGUUCCCUCAAAGGUGGUUUGAAAUGGAGGAAUAACAAAUGGUUCGGAUUGUGGUUGUGUAGCGGGUACAGGCUCAGGUUGCACUCCGCUACUAACGAGCUCGUCAAUCAACUUCUUCUGAGCGGCCAUUUCUGACGCCAUUUCCCCAAAUUUUGUGAGUAACUCUGUCAACUGAACCCCAGGACUUGCAGCUUCCGGCUGGGUAGUGGCAACGGCCUUAUCGGAUGAUUCUGGUUGAGUACUCAUGUCUACACGAUUCCUUUGGGCCUUACUUCGGGAUCGCGUAAUAAUGGGGCUUUUCCGAAAAGCUAUUUUGAAAUUUACCUGAAAUGAAGAAAGAACUCCCUUAGAUAAACCAAUGAUUACUGAAUUUCUGCAAUUUAUUCAAAAAGAGAAAAAAGAAAAAGGCAUGAGUUAGUAAUUAUUCGAAAAAUUCGGAUGCAUGUCCUAUGGGGGGCCCUUUUUGUGCCAAGGGUAGGCCUAGCAUGAUGCAACACUUUCGGAAUGAGACCCAUUAAUCAAACCUGUUAUUUGACAAACACUUUGUGAGAAGGGAUUCAUUGCAAAAACCAAAUACAUCUGUUUACAUCAUAUUGCGAAGGCGAUUUUGUACAAGAUCACCAAAGUUCCUAAGCCUAUCUAGUACAGAGUCUUUACUCUCUCUAGUAUAUGGCAUCUGGACACGUUCGGCUUGAUCAUAUAAUUCCCCACAUUUCCGCUUCAUCUCUUGGCGCCUUUCUCGCUCCUUCUCAUAUAACCUCUUGUUUUCUUCUGCCUUUCCUUUGUGCACUUCGAUGGAUUUCUUCAACUGUACCACCUCCAUGUCCUUGGCUUUAAUGAUGGCUCUCAGCUUCUCAAUUUCCUCAUACGGCUCAUGUUGCAACCCUUGCGUGGUGGAAUCUUUCAACCAAUCCUCGUAUGGUGCGGUCAUUACCCCCUUCUGUUUGAGCUCCGGAAGAUAACGAAUGCUUCUAUCGUCGGAUAUUGUUCUCCAAGAUUCAGUGAUUUGACUCUUCAUAGGGAUCUCUUUUGGGCAUACCCCCUGAUCAAAGAAAAUGGUGACUUCACUAAACUCGGAAAUCGGUGGCGGCCCCUGAAUGCGACCUAGUUGUCUGAGAAAUCUUUUCGGGGUAUAUAUGAGAUGAUUCCUUGAGUUCCCAGCAGAACACGUUUGGAUUCCUUAGUGCGAAGUAUCGGCUCAAAGCAGUCUGUCCAAUCUAAUACCCACCUAAUGUUGAAAUCUUGCAAUGUUUCCAAGUAAUCCACACAUUCGGAUGCGUUCUUAGGUAGAUCUCCCUCGUUGACUCUUUUGGGAUGUGUGAUUACCCAAUUAUAUCCAACCACCGCAAACUAUCGGCAACUGAUGCUUGUCUCUUAAAAUGUUCCGUAGCCCAUAUGUAAGAACCAAGUUCGCCCCAUGGAAAAACUUUUCUCCCUUUCGACAACCAGUACAAGCUAAGAAAAUAUCUGCGAGAAUGGUCGGGACUAUAGAGCAUUGCUUACCCUGAAUUCCUAAGAAAAGGUCAUUCACAAUUUUUGCUGAUUUGAAGGCUAUCUUUUGAUCUUUUCGCGGAAAGAGAUAGGUCCCAGCCAUAACUACCCCAUAUACUAGUAGCCUUUUGCGCUCCCAUACGGCUUUGGAAGUGAACACAAAAUCCGUCACAUGCCUCUCGAAUCCAUCGCGUGGCGCAAAUCGUUCAAACAGAAUAUUCACAGCGACGCCCUGAUCUGACCCUCGUAGCACGGACUCUUUCAAUCCUAUAAUUUGACAAAAUUCGGCCUUGUCGGAAGCAAAUGGAAGCACCAAGGCAGUUCCUCGUGUGGGUAAACCAAGGAGGCCAGCUACUUCUUCGAGUGUUAUAGUCAUUUGCCUAUUGCCUAUUCUAAAAGCAGUACACUCGGGGUCCCAAAGAUGAACUAAAGCCUCUACCAAGUAAUUGUUGGAUUUGAUCUGCUUAAAGUCUCCAAUUGGUCCUAAAAAUUGGGCUACUUGAUUCAAUUCACUAGGUAACAUGAAGGUGGGCCAUUGUUGAACCUCAGUCGACGGUAUUAACAAUUGGUAGAUGCGGCGAGGGCAAGCCAUCUGAUAAUGAAGAGGUAGUUUGUCAAUUACCUUACCUACGAGUCUCAUUCCUCCAGUUAUGCGAUAACUUAAACGUGCAGUCCCUUGAAGGGUUAAAUACCCAUGGGACACAAAAGGGUUGGUUUUAUUCCUAAAACGGGAUUCCCUACGUGGCGUUCCCUUUCUAGGGUUUAUGCAUGAUGCCAUUUUAUUAAAACAAUAAAAUAUGCAAUUUGAAAUGAAACGUGACCUAAGGAACCCUUUAUUUGCCAGAGUAGGCCUAAAACGGUAUGGCAUUAUGAAUUUAUGAACAAAAUAAACCAUAAUUUGUCAAACGUGCAAUAGCCUAUCUACAAGGGUAGGUCUUAAAAGAAGGUCAUGCCAGACCUCUUAUUUCUUAAUGUUUGUGAAUGCCAAAAACAAAAAACAAGGAAACGUGAGCUCAACACAUAAUCACAUAACACAUUUUGGACAAAUAGAUAAUAUAAAAGGCAAUAAAGAUAAAUAAGAAAAGAGGGUUGGGACCCCUCCCCUCGUGAAUAGUGUCCCUAGUUCAGGAUAAUGGCUGACUCUACCCUAGGCAAUUCUAAUAUGAAUGCAUGAGGCUUGGCUUACUAAUGCAUCUAGACUCGAUAGGUCAUAGGCCCCCGAGCCUUCAGACUUAGAAACCAAGGGUCAUCAAUCCCAAGGUUCUUUGUCGGUGGCUCGAGCGAUUCCCCAAACACCGCUACGCACACAUCGUGUCACGGCUACGUGUUUGAGUGAAUCUAUCAAAACUUCAAUCUUCGACCAAAAGCUAAAGGCUAUCAACCAAUAGCUUUAAGCGGAAGAUUGAGUGACCCAUUGGAACAUGCUACACACACAUCGUGUCGUGAUCACAUGUCCAAGUGAGUCACCUAAUCCUAAUAGGGUGGAGUGGCGUGACAAGCCACUAAAGAAAAAUAAAAGGGAUAAAUAAUUAAAGCGUAUGCACGUAUGCUAGUGCUCGUUUGGAGGGGAGGGAUCAAGAACCAACGCGAGGCUCUAAGGUGAUGUCCCCCACCCAAAUGCAAUGCAAGCGCGAGAUAAACAAGUAAACAUACAUCCAAUCAACCAAUCAUACAUUCACGAGCGAGGGAGUAGUUGGAUACGCGUGAAAUGCAAAAAAUCCUAAAAAAGGAAAAAAUGCAACCCUAAAACACCCAAAUGUGAUAUAUGAAAAGGUUAAAAGAAGAAAAAGAUUGAUUAAAUCAAAUUUGCUCGGACUCUCGAAAGUCCCCAGUGGAGUCGCCAACUGUCGCGCCCCAUUUUUUUUUUUUGAUAAAAAUAAAAAUGAAUGGUUUGAGAAAGAUGUAUUUUGUGAUUUGGAAAAUGAAUUGUGAUUUAAAAGAAAGAUGGGUCUAAAUGGGACUUUUGAAACUGCGACGAUUUGACCCAAGAAAAAUAGUUCAAAAAGGGUUUUUUAUAUGAAAAAUGGAGUCGCCACUUGGUAUAGAGUUAGGGUGUACCAAGUCACCCAAAAAGUGAAUUUUUAAGGAAAAAAGUAAGAAACCCUUUUGAACGACUCCUAGUCCACGCAAACAAAGAAAAAGAUUCGGGAGUCACAUUUGACGAAGGGGAAGGCAAGGAUAAAAAUCCAAGGCACCCCUUCGACCUAGCCAAGGCUAGUUGCGUUGAUUUAAUCAAAAAUUUUCUUGUUUUAACCAAAGAAUUUAUUACAUUUGGAUGUGCUACAUGAAUGCAAAACCCUAGACCUAGGGGUAUUGGGGGAAAUUUCUCUUCAAAGGUUGAGUGGUGCCAAUCACAUUAAUUGUGAAGCCCAAUAACGAUCCUUUGAAGAAGUCACGAAUAAUGCAAGUGAGAUGCAAAUGAAGGAAAUGCAUGUAUGCAAUGUGAAGGCAUGAGUUUGAAAAAGUAAUAAAAAACAAAGAUGCAUAAGUGAAAAUGUGCACGUGAGUGGGCAAGGUAUGGUAUGUGCGAUGGUAAUAUGAAGUGCAUGUGCAAGUUAUGAUAAAAAGUGCUAGUGUGCAAGUGAAGGGAUAAAGAGAUGCACGUGUGCAAAAAGUGUUCGUGUGCAAGUGAAGGGAUAAAAAGGUGUACGUGUGCAAAUAGGAAGAAAAGUGUUAUGAUAGAAUGGAUGCAUGAACCUAGGGAAUUCAUGCAUAAUGGGUACGGGGAGACCUAAAUCGUGACUCAAUUUGCCCUUUGAUAGAGAGGAUACAAGCGUGCUAAGGCUUAGAAAAAGCCACACUCGUCUAUAUCCCAUAUUUAAGGGGAUUUUCACGCAAAUGAACCCUAACUAGCAUGAGAUGCAAGUCCUAAAGUGAAGGGGAAGGGGUUUGAGGAACAUACCAAAUGAUAAGCUAAGGAAAAAUGCGUGAUAUGUGGUGAUCAUGCACUUAAUGAAAAAGGGAAAAAAGAACCUAUUGGGUCUAGCAUUGGACUAGCCCAUUCUAUGAAUUCCGACUAGCGUUGGACUAGUGGAAACGAUAAAAGAAGCCACAACUAGCGUUGGACUAGUGUGGUGACGUACAUUCAUCCAUUCCAUUCAUUUAUACUUACGAAAAACGAGUAGACAUGCGAAUCACUUAUAAACACGUAGCACAUAACACUUAGCAUGCUUGACUAGAUGCAAAAUCCUAAUAAAGCAUUUAACAUAUAACACAUAGGCAUGCAACCAAGCUAAUGAACUUAUUACAUUCACUAACUAAAACAAAAGGGGAAGGGGAAAAUGGACCAAAUUGCUCGCCACAGCCCUAUCUAUUACAAGCCAAGAGGUGUACACAUACCCCAUUUAAAAGAAUAAUUUAAUAAAAGCAAGAAUGAAUGAAAUAAUGGAACUAAAGAAUGGUAAUGAAAGCAAAUUAGGCAUGCGAUUCACACUUAGCACAUUGGAUCACAUAGGAGAGACAAAAGGGGUAAAAGAGAUUAUACCUCCCCGUUGGUGAUACUAAGGAAGUAAACAAAGUCAACUUGGCUAGAGUCACCCAAGAAAAGACUAACUUAGGCUAAAAUCACCAAAAACAAAAGAUUAAUGCACCAAUUUAGUGAUAAGAUAUAAACUAAAUAAUUUGAGCCCACCAAAACAUCAAACUUUCUUCAAU